GCUCCAUAAUAAACUGUAAAAAUAUAAUACAUUUAGUGGGAGGGGGAGCUCAUUGCGUCACUGCUCAGGCAGCUGUACUGCUGGGGGCUCUGGGAACGUCGUGAGCUUGGAGACCAAGAUGCAUUCAAGGGUGGUUAACAAAAGAAAUUUAUCACCACAUGAAGAAGUUGAUAAAUUUGUCAAUAGUCGUUGUUACAAAUUGAAAAAUUGUUAGAGAGGUCUACUACCUUUGUCCAGUAGAAAAUCUGCUAAAGUUGGUAAAUGGGUAAAAGUGUGUAGCACCCAGUCUAGAGGUUUGUAGCUUUGAGACUCCAAUUUCCCACUGUUCAUGAACGGCUCACAGGCAGUUUACAGGAUGUCACUGGAAUGUCCAAUUUAGACUCCACCAGCGUUCCGCGUUUGACACACACUCCCUCAUCAGAUCAGGAGUUGCUGGAGACAAACAGCUGAUAUCCUGACUGAACUCCUUCAGUCCAUUGAAGCAGUGAAACAGUGAUUUCUCUGAGAGUGGAUCAGCAGAUCAACUGUUCACUGUCAGUGGAUGGUAGCUGGAAGAGGGAGAAGAUGAUCUGCAGGAUCCUGCUGCUCAUCAUCCUCAACUCAUGUCUCUGUGCAGCAACAUUUGUAGUGAAUGUGACACAGAGCUCCUAUCAGGCAGAGGAGAACCACAGCAUCACUCUGGAGUGGACCUUCACCACCACACCUGAUCGACCCUGGAGAUUUCUGUUCAUCCUCUGUGAACAGAUCACAGAUCAUAGAGAUUUAAUCCUUUAUCAGGUCCAUGAUGGAGUUGAGGUGUCAGAGUCUCAGGGUGAACAGUUUUCAGGACGAGUCCAGCUUGACAAAGACGUCCUCAGAGAAGGACGGAUCAGACUCCAUGUGUCCAGACUGAGGACUCAAGACUCUGGAGAGUAUUACUGUUUUGUGAAGACUGAUGAUGGCUUAGACUCUGACAGAUGUCGACUCAAAGUCUCUGAAGCAAAGAAUCGACCUGAACCUCCAAACUCAGGAAGUCCAACAAGCAGACCUGAACCUCCAAACUCAGGAAGUGCAACAAGCAGACCUGGCAACCCGAUCAGAACCAUUGGAGGACUGCUGCUGUUUCUAUCUGUGAAGCUUUUUCUGCUUUAAUAUUUGCUUCAUGCAGAGUUUUCAUUGCAGUCGCUGAUUCCAGCAAAUCAUUGAAUGUUUUCCUGAACUCCUGAAGCUGACUUCAGCAGCAGCUUUUCCACUUUCUGAUGAGGAUCAUCAUCUGCUGUCUGAUGGUUGUUAGUCACACUGGUUUCAAUCUGCUGAUCAGUCAAUGUGCCCUUGAGCAAAGCACUUUACCUCUAGUUGCUCACAGGUCCAUUCCCCUUUCACCAAGCUUUAUUCAGUCCAUAUUAUGCAUUGUUCACUGUUUUUAACAUUUUCUGGAACUUUUGCUGAUUCUGUCCCAUUGGGAUGAACGUUUCUUUAUAAAACAUAUUAUAUGUCA